UACGGGGGGGGCAAGCGUUGUUCGGAAUUACUGGGCGUAAAGGGCUCGUAGGCGGCCAACUAAGUCGGACGUGAAAUCCCCAGGCUCAACCUGGGAACUGCGUCCGAUACUGGAUGGCUUGAAUUCGGGAGAGGGAUGCAGAAUUCCAGGUGUAGCGGUGAAAUGCGUAGAUAUCUGGAGGAAUACCGGUGGCGAAGGCGGCAUCCUGGACCGAUAUUGACGCUGAGGAGCGAAAGCGUGGGGAGCAAACAGG
rnacentral:rRNA from 1 species